GGUUGGCGCCUGGCAGUGGUCCCGUUGUCCCCAGGUCCACGCCUUUCUUGCCUUGCCUCCGCUGCAGCGUUACUCAAGGGGAGUCCUCGUGGGGUGCCGCUGGGCAGCCCCUAGGCCAGCCUCCUGACUUCCCUGUUGAAGGGAGCAGGAUACACCUAGGAACCUGCAUGAAAUUGGUGUGUGGAGUGGAAGCUGCGUUUGGUUUGUCUUGAACAUCCCUGACUACUGAGGUACAUUUUUCCCCCCAAAGUAAUUUUGUAUAGUUUGGCUCCAGCCGUCUCCAAGACGCAGAGGGAAAGCGUGACUCCCUGUGGGUUGUAAGGAUCUGACUACGGGACCCCUGGGAUUGUGCGGGCGAAGCUCAUCUCUGCAGGCUUCUCUAGCUUUCUUUAAAAACGCAAAUUGGAACUGCUCAUUUGUAAUCUGACAGUUGGCAAACGCCAGAUAUCACUCCAUUUCCAUCGUCACAUCUACCCCGUACUCCCGACGCAACCAAGGUUUGGCCCAGCACCUUUGAUCCACCUCUAGGAACCCAGGGGCAUGAAAGCUCAGGGGCAAAAGGCUAGCAGUAGGCUAAAGGUACGAGCACUUGCCGCAUACGUGUGAGGAUUACUAAAUUCAGACGGAAAAAUCCGCUCAACGCCGCCGUAGACUUAAAGUUCUCCCCUGCUCCUCACAUGGACACUUGGUCUAUGACUCAUUCACAACAAGAUCACUUUUUUUUGAGAGUUUGGUAUUCUGUUCCACAUUAUGUUAGUGUUGAUGUCAAAUUUAAAAUGCAUAAAGCCCCUGUUGACUAAAAUAGACAUAAAGUUGAAUGAAAACGAAACAACCGACAGCCGUGACAUGCUCAUCACUUGGUUUUCUGCUCUGACAGUCCAUCUCAGGAGAUAGCCUGUCCACAGUGGCUCCUGCUGGCUCCCCAAUGAUGCCUUCUCCUCUUGAAACCGUGGUUGUUGCUUCGAUUUCUGCCUCAGUCUGUGUACCUUUCUCCGUCUUCACUGCUUCAUAAGGCCCUUCAUCAUUCAGGGCUCAGCUCAAACACCAUCUCCUCUGCAAAGCCAUAUAAGCACACAGAAGAAUUUGGUGCUCUUUCUUGCUUUUCCAUUUGAGAUCACAUGGUGUAGCUGUGGCCACUUUUCACGCAUCUCCAUUCUUGACUUUAAGGCUGAAGUAAGACCUCAUUCCUUUAAAUUGAUCUCAUCCAACACGGCUGCUGAUGCAUAGAUAUUAUAUAAUAUACACAUAUAUAAUAUAUACAGGUUCUCACACUGGCCUGAAACUCAUCAAGCAGACUGGACUGGCUGGCCAUAGAACAUUAGAAAUCCACCCGUUCUGCCUCAUUAACAUCAGGAUCACACACACACACACACACACACACACACACACACACACACCACGUUCCUGGCUAUUUUAGGUGGGUUCUGGGGAUCAAAUUCAGGCCCUUAUAUUUGUAUAGUAAACGCUUUGCUGGCAGAGCCAUCUCCUAAGCCCCAUGCAGUAAUCAGAAAAAGGCAAAACCAAGAAGACUUUGGCGCGAAGUCAGAAUGUUUACUACACUAAAGCGAAUGAGAGGAGGAAGGCAUUCCCAUGGCCUGUGCAGGGUAGUUGAUUCCGGUGGGGCCUUGGAAGGACUCAGGCUCUGUCUGUCCCUGCCAUGAGCUGUACUGUACAGACGGCGGGUGUCUCCAGAGACGCCAGUGCAGGAGGGGACCAGGCAGAGCCCAGCGGCUUCGUGUGGCAAUGAAGUGCAUUGUUGCCUUUUGUCUUCACACUCUCCAUUCAGCUGUGGGUAGAGAGCCGCUGUAUGCUGAUGAGAGGGACCUUGGGUGUUUGCAGGCAUUGAGCAUCGAACCCGCUUGGGAAGGAAAUGAAAACUGCCAAAGUCACCUAGCCCUUAAACAACACAAGAGGCCAGAGACAGCACCUGAAGCUCAAGAGCUCACGCAAACAGCAACUCUCGCGAUCCUGGCCUGCUGCUCUUCCUGCGCUCUUCAUCCCACGGUGGCGACUUUAUCUUCUUGACUGCUCCGCAAACGCUUAAGAGUCGUCACUCACAAUCGAUUUUAUUUUGAGAGUUUCUUGCUCUGUAUCUUAGGGUGGUCUCAAAGUCCAAAUCUUUCUGCCUCAGCCUCCUAUCUGCCGGGAUUGCGGAUAAGGUACUGUGGAGAGGGGAGGAGCUCAGAGGCCCCAUGCUCUCUGGGGAGCUGUGGGCCACUGACACUGACGGCUCGGCUCCUUGUGUGUAUGGCCACUGACAGGCUGUAUAUGCCCCAGUGCGCGGCCACACACCCCUGCACAUUAUACACAGCGCUUAUUAGACUCAGUGAGUUACAAAGAUAAAAGAGAGAAUAUGAAGCUGGUGGCACAGGUUGGGGGAUUAAGGAGCAAAAGGAGGGAUGGAUAUGAAGUAUUAUAUAUGUAAUAUA